GUAGGUGGCAAGCGUUGUCCGGAAUUAUUGGGCGUAAAGCGCGCGCAGGCGGUUCUUUAAGCCUGAUGUGAAAGCCCACGGCUCAACCGUGGAGGGUCAUUGGAAACUGGAGAACUUGAGUACAGAAGAGGAAAGCGGAAUUCCACGUGUAGCGGUGAAAUGCGUAGAGAUGUGGAGGAACACCAGUGGCGAAGGCGGCUUUCUGGUCUGUAACUGACGCUGAGGCGCGAAAGCGUGGGGAGCAAACAGGAUUAGAUACCCUGGUAGUCCACGCCGUAAACGAUGAGUGCUAAGUGUUAGGGGGUUUCCGCCCCCCUUAGUGCUGCAGCUAACGCAUUAAGCACUCCGCCUGGGAUACGGCCGCAAGGCUG
rnacentral:rRNA from 1 species